rnacentral:rRNA from 1 species
GAUGAACGCUGGCGGCGUGCCUAAUACAUGCAAGUCGAGCGGACAGACGAGGAGCUUGCUCCUCUGACGUUAGCGGCGGACGGGUGAGUAACACGUGGAUAACCUACCUAUAAGACUGGGAUAACUUCGGGAAACCGGAGCUAAUACCGGAUAAUAUAUUGAACCGCAUGGUUCAAUAGUGAAAGACGGUUUUGCUGUCACUUAUAGAUGGAUCCGCGCCGCAUUAGCUAGUUGGUAAGGUAACGGCUUACCAAGGCAACGAUGCGUAGCCGACCUGAGAGGGUGAUCGGCCACACUGGAACUGAGACACGGUCCAGACUCCUACGGGAGGCAGCAGUAGGGAAUCUUCCGCAAUGGGCGAAAGCCUGACGGAGCAACGCCGCGUGAGUGAUGAAGGUCUUCGGAUCGUAAAACUCUGCUAUUAGGGAAGAACAAAUGUGUAAGUAACUAUGCACGUCUUGACGGUACCUAAUCAGAAAGCCACGGCUAACUACGUG